rnacentral:tRNA from 2 species
GGGUCCAUAGCUCAGUGGUAGAGCAUUUGACUGCAGACAAGAGGUCACCGGUUCGAACGUGGUUGGGCCCU